AAAACACUUCAACAAAUCCCAAAACACGACAUUAACUUCUACCGGAAAAGGUAGGGCCUAUCUAGGAGAGGACGGACCCUCCUGAUUGGACAGACGGACUGUCUGUCUUUCGCGCUCCCAAAUCACCCACAAUCCUAUGCGCGCGGCUUUGCCGGCUCGUUAAAAAAACAACAAUGGCGGACCUAAGCGGGGCAUCGCUGAUGGCACAAGUAUCAUUUAAAUGGGACUAAGGAACAAACUGAGGCUGCCCUAGCAUCACCAGAAGGGAGACAUGAGGAGGAGAGGGAAAGCAAAAGACAAGCAGGGAGACAGAGGCCAAAGAGAUGUUGAAUAGAUUAUUUGCGAUAUUAGAAAUUGGCAUUCUAAAAAUAAAUGCAUUAAAUGAA